UGUUAUACGAAACUUGAGUAUUAAGCAAGUAAUAACUGCAUAGCAAACUCAUAAUUUUUACAAACAAACAAACCCACUCAAACAGAGAUACACCAAUAGGCAAUAUACAAAACAAAUUAAAUUUGCAGAGAGACUAUACUAGUGUAUAGAUUAAAAAUUAGAAUCAUCAUCGAUGCUGUAAAAUUGCCGCCAUAUUUAUACAGCAAUAUA